UGGGUGAUCUGCCCUGCACUUCGGGAUAAGCCUGGGAAACUGGGUCUAAUACCGGAUAUACCUCAUUGAUCUCCUGGUUGGUGGGGGAAAGCUUUUGCGGUGUGGAUGGCCCGCGGCCUAUCAGCUUGUUGGUGAGGUUACGGCUCACCAAGGCGUCGACGGGUAGCCGGCCUGAGAGGGUGUCCGGCCACACGUGGGACUGAGAUACGGCCCAGACCUCCGUACGGGAGGCAG
rnacentral:rRNA from 1 species